AUGCAAGUGGUCCUCCUGAGACUCAUCCUCGCCUCCUGGUGCCUGAAUUUCUGUUUGACAGCAGACAACGAUGUAGUCCAGAGCCCACCCUACAAGGUGAUCCAGACUGGUGAAAGUGUGUCAAUGGAUUGUUCUGAUGACAGAUCCAGCAACCUGGCCAAAUUCUGGUACCGCCAGAAGGACGGAGCUCUAGUCCAGAUUGCGUAUUCGUACAACGCAGGGGAAGCUGACAUGGAGAAGGAUUUUCCCAAAGAUAGAUUUCUGAUAAAAGCUGAUACAGCUAUGAGGAGCUCCCUGACCAUCAGUGAGGUGUCUGUGGAUGACAGUGCGAAUUACUUCUGUGCCAGCAGCAUCCACAGCGGCACAAGGAUAACACGAGGCCGUGCAGGAAUUCAUCAAAGACACUUUCCUGUAAUAAAGACUGUUAUACCACAACCAGCUGCCAUCUCUUCCUGA